rnacentral:rRNA from 1 species
ACUCCUACGGAAGGCAGCAGUGGGGAAUAUUGCACAAUGGGGGAAACCCUGAUGCAGCCAUGCCGCGUGUGUGAAGAAGGCCUUCGGGUUGUAAAGCACUUUCAGUAGGGAGGAAGGUAGUGUAGUUAACACCUGCAUUAUUUGACGUUACCUACAGAAGAAGCACCGGCUAACUCCGUGCCAGCAGCCGCGGUAAUACGGAGGGUGCGAGCGUUAAUCGGAAUUACUGGGCGUAAAGCGCAUGCAGGCGGCCUGUUAAGUCAGAUGUGAAAGCCCGGGGCUUAACCUCGGAAUUGCAUUUGAAACUGGCAGGCUAGAGUCUUGUAGAGGGGGGUAGAAUUUCAGGUGUAGCGGUGAAAUGCGUAGAGAUCUGAAGGAUACCAGUGGCGAAGGCGGCCCCCUGGACAAAGACUGACGCUCAGAUGCGAAAGCGUGGGGAGCAAACAGGAUUAGAUACCCCUGGUAGCACAGAG